rnacentral:rRNA from 1 species
CAGUCGCCGCGGUAAUACGAAGGGUGCAAGCGUUAAUCGGAAUUACUGGGCGUAAAGCGUGCGUAGGCGGUGAGUUAAGUCUGCUGUGAAAUCCCCGGGCUCAACCUGGGAAUGGCAGUGGAUACUGGCUCGCUAGAGUGUGUCAGAGGAUGGUGGAAUUCCCGGUGUAGCGGUGAAAUGCGUAGAUAUGCGGAGGAACACCGAUGGCGAAGGCAGCCCCCUGGGCCAACACUGACGCUCAUGCACGAAAGCGUGGGGAGCAAACAGGAUUAGAUACCCGCGUAGUCCCUGUCUCUUAUAC